UACAGAGGGGGCAAGCGUUGUUCGGAAUUACUGGGCGUAAAGGGCGCGUAGGCGGCCUGCUAAGUCGAACGUGAAAUCCCUGGGCUCAACCCAGGAACUGCGUCCGAUACUGGUUGGCUUGAAUCCGGGAGAGGGAUGUGGAAUUCCAGGUGUAGCGGUGAAAUGCGUAGAUAUCGGGAGGAACACCCGUAGCGAAGGCGGCACUCUGGGCCGGUACUGACGCUGAGGAGCGAAAGCGUGGGGAGCAAACAGG
rnacentral:rRNA from 1 species